rnacentral:rRNA from 1 species
GGUUAAGCGACUAAGCGUACACGGUGGAUGCCCUGGCAGUCAGAGGCGAUGAAGGACGUGCUAAUCUGCGAAAAGCGUCGGUAAGGUGAUAUGAACCGUUAUAACCGGCGAUGUCCGAAUGGGGAAACCCAGUGUGAUUCGUCACACUAUCGUUAACUGAAUACAUAGGUUAACGAGGCGAACCGGGGGAACUGAAACAUCUAAGUACCCCGAGGAAAAGAAAUCAACCGAGAUUCCCCCAGUAGCGGCGAGCGAACGGGGAGCAGCCCAGAGUCUGAAUCAGCUUGUGUGUUAGUGGAACGGUCUGGAAAGUCCGACGGUACAGGGUGAUAGUCCCGUACACCAAAAUGCACAGGCUGUGAACUCGAAGAGUAGGGCGGGACACGUGGUAUCCUGUCUGAAUAUGGGGGGACCAUCCUCCAAGGCUAAAUACUCCUGACUGACCGAUAGUGAACCAGUACCGUGAGGGAAAGGCGAAAAGAACCCCGGCGAGGGGAGUGAAAAAGAACCUGAAACCGUGUACGUACAAGCAGUGGGAGCACCUUCGGGUGUGACUGCGUACCUUUUGUAUAAUGGGUCAGCGACUUAUAUUCUGUAGCAAGGUUAACCGUAUAGGGGAGCCGCAGGGAAACCGAGUCUUAACUGGGCGUUAAGUUGCAGGGUAUAGACCCGAAACCCGGUGAUCUAGCCAUGGGCAGGUUGAAGGUUGGGUAACACUAACUGGAGGACCGAACCGACUAAUGUUGAAAAAUUAGCGGAUGACUUGUGGCUGGGGGUGAAAGGCCAAUCAAACCGGGAGAUAGCUGGUUCUCCCCGAAAGCUAUUUAGGUAGCGCCUCGUGAAUUCAUCUUCGGGGGUAGAGCACUGUUUCGGCUAGGGGGUCAUCCCGACUUACCAACCCGAUGCAAACUACGAAUACCGAAGAAUGUUAUCACGGGAGACACACGGCGGGUGCUAACGUCCGUCGUGAAGAGGGAAACAACCCAGACCGCCAGCUAAGGUCCCAAAGUCAUGGUUAAGUGGGAAACGAUGUGGGAAGGCACAGACAGCCAGGAUGUUGGCUUAGAAGCAGCCAUCAUUUAAAGAAAGCGUAAUAGCUCACUGGUCGAGUCGGCCUGCGCGGAAGAUGUAACGGGGCUAAACCAUGCACCGAAGCUGCGGCAGCGACACUAUGUGUUGUUGGGUAGGGGAGCGUUCUGUAAGCCUGCGAAGGUGACCUGUGAGGGUUGCUGGAGGUAUCAGAAGUGCGAAUGCUGACAUAAGUAACGAUAAAGCGGGUGAAAAGCCCGCUCGCCGGAAGACCAAGGGUUCCUGUCCAACGUUAAUCGGGGCAGGGUGAGUCGACCCCUAAGGCGAGGCCGAAAGGCGUAGUCGAUGGGAAACAGGUUAAUAUUCCUGUACUUGGUGUUACUGCGAAGGGGGGACGGAGAAGGCUAUGUUAGCCGGGCGACGGUUGUCCCGGUUUAAGCAUGUAGGCUGGUUAUCCAGGCAAAUCCGGAUAAUCAAGGCUGAGGUGUGAUGACGAGGCACUACGGUGCUGAAGUAACAAAUGCCCUGCUUCCAGGAAAAGCCUCUAAGCAUCAGGUAACAUCAAAUCGUACCCCAAACCGACACAGGUGGUCAGGUAGAGAAUACCAAGGCGCUUGAGAGAACUCGGGUGAAGGAACUAGGCAAAAUGGUGCCGUAACUUCGGGAGAAGGCACGCUGGUGUGUAGGUGAAGUCCCUGCGGAUGGAGCUGAGACCAGUCGAAGAUACCAGCUGGCUGCAACUGUUUAUUAAAAACACAGCACUGUGCAAACACGAAAGUGGACGUAUACGGUGUGACGCCUGCCCGGUGCCGGAAGGUUAAUUGAUGGGGUUAUCCGUAAGGAGAAGCUCUUGAUCGAAGCCCCGGUAAACGGCGGCCGUAACUAUAACGGUCCUAAGGUAGCGAAAUUCCUUGUCGGGUAAGUUCCGACCUGCACGAAUGGCGUAAUGAUGGCCAGGCUGUCUCCACCCGAGACUCAGUGAAAUUGAACUCGCUGUGAAGAUGCAGUGUACCCGCGGCAAGACGGAAAGACCCCGUGAACCUUUACUAUAGCUUGACACUGAACAUUGAGCCUUGAUGUGUAGGAUAGGUGGGAGGCUUUGAAGCGUGGACGCCAGUCUGCGUGGAGCCAACCUUGAAAUACCACCCUUUAAUGUUUGAUGUUCUAACGUUGGCCCCUUACCGGGGUUGCGGACAGUGUCUGGUGGGUAGUUUGACUGGGGCGGUCUCCUCCCAAAGCGUAACGGAGGAGCACGAAGGUUAGCUAAUCCUGGUCGGACAUCAGGAGGUUAGUGCAAUGGCAUAAGCUAGCUUGACUGCGAGCGUGACGGCGCGAGCAGGUGCGAAAGCAGGUCAUAGUGAUCCGGUGGUUCUGAAUGGAAGGGCCAUCGCUCAACGGAUAAAAGGUACUCCGGGGAUAACAGGCUGAUACCGCCCAAGAGUUCAUAUCGACGGCGGUGUUUGGCACCUCGAUGUCGGCUCAUCACAUCCUGGGGCUGAAGUAGGUCCCAAGGGUAUGGCUGUUCGCCAUUUAAAGUGGUACGCGAGCUGGGUUUAGAACGUCGUGAGACAGUUCGGUCCCUAUCUGCCGUGGGCGCUGGAGAAUUGAGGGGGGCUGCUCCUAGUACGAGAGGACCGGAGUGGACGCAUCACUGGUGUUCGGGUUGUCAUGCCAAUGGCACUGCCCGGUAGCUAAAUGCGGAAGAGAUAAGUGCUGAAAGCAUCUAAGCACGAAACUUGCCCCGAGAUGAGUUCUCCCUGAGACUUUAAGUCUCCUGAAGGAACGUUAAAGACGAUGACGUUGAUAGGCCGGGUGUGUAAGCGCAGCGAUGCGUUGAGCUAACCGGUACUAAUGAACCGUGAGGCUUAACCUU